CUGCAUUCUCCCAUACAAUUGUAUUGCCCCUGUUCAGCGAAGUGAACACACACCGUUGAUCAACAGAUUGCUGUUAGUAGACUGAUCUCUGGUGAUCAACAGGCGCCAUCUACAGGAGGAAAACCGCGGUCUCGCUUUUUGAGAUGUAGGCUCGGCCUAUGGGCAAGACAUCAUCUCGUAAAGGUUGCUCAACGGACUCAAAGUGAUGAUGCCCUUCAAAUUGAGUGAAACUAAAAUGCCAGGCCCCCUGCUACUUCUGCUGUGCUGGAGCUAUGUCUUGAAAGCUACACACACAUCAAUUAUAGCCCAGACACCUGGAGUGGUGAUGGUGAAAGCUGGUGAUACAGUGACCUUGAAAUGCCAUUUGAGUGAGAUUAUCACCUACUGCUUCUCUGUGAGUUGGAUAAAAGUGGACCCCAGGACUGGAACACACAGCAUGAGUACAACCUUAACGGUUGAUAACAUUUCAACGGACCAGGAACAGGACAACAUAUGUUCCGUUACAAUCACCAAUGCAAAUGUGAGCGACUCUGGCAUGUACUACUGUUUGGCUGUUCACUCCAAAAUGGUGUACUCUGGCAAUGGUUCUAAGGUUAUUAUUUUGACAGAGAGAGAAAGGGUAGGGAACAGCAGUAAAGCCCCAACCAUCCAAAUCGUCUCUUCGCCAGAGGUUGACCGCAUCUUCAUCCCUCUGCUGUGUUUGGUGUUGGAAGUGGUCCCGUCUCAGGUCCGUGUGUUCUGGCUCAUAGACGGGAGAGAAGAGAGUGGACUCACUGACUCCACCUGGACAGACAACAGUGAUUCAGCCACAGAGUUCACUAGGAACCAGAUUCUUGUCCAGGCACAGGAGUGGGACAGAGGAGCAGAGUUUACAUGUGUGGUGGAGUUUGAGGGGAAAAAUAUCACCAAAACACUGCUGCAGAAAAAUGAUUCCAAUGCCAUGUGCACAAUGUUGAUGUAUGGGGCCUCUGCAGCUGCUCUCCUCACCAUAAUAGUUGCUGUCACUAUCGCUGUGUGUCUGCACCGUGGGCAUCCUGUGGUUAUUGAUGCAGAUACAAGACAAAGAGGCACAGGCACUGAGAACAAACGGGAUCAAUCUGGGAGACGUGGAGAAGCAAGAAGGCCAGUUAGAUCAUCGUUCUCGGAGGUCCAGUAUGCGACUUUGGACCAUAUCAAUUUUGGGAGACGCACAAAUACAGUUCUCCAAUCAGAUUUUGACAAAGAAAUUGCAUAAAAAUUCCUUGUAUUUUGUCAUGAUGUAGAUGCUUAUGAACUGCCACUGAAAACAUUUCAGAUUAUUAUUUAUGUAUAAAGCAAGAGCCGGUGUCCGCAAUUGCUAAGUACUUUCUUUUAUAUUGGAAUUCAACUGUGGAGUAGUCUCCCAUUAGUCAUAAAUCUGUCCCAGUCCAGAAAGGCUUUCAGAGGUCAGGUUAGAUCCCUUCCGUCAGGAAAAGUGCACAGGUCUAAAUAGGAAAAUUACUGAAUAUUCUUGAAUUUUGUAUGGAUUGUGUAUUUUUUAUGGUGUAGGCUAGUUAGGGACUUGUCACAGGAGGUUGGUGGCACCUUAAUUGGGGAGGAUGGUUUCGUGGUAUUGGCUGGAGUGGAAUAGUAUGAAAUACAUCAAACACAUGGAUUGAUGCCAAUCCAUUUGCUUUGUUCCAGACAUUAUUAUCAGCCGUUCUCCCCUCAGCAGCCUCCACUGGCCCAUGUAUUUCCAUGGAUUUUCUUGUGUUGUGUCCUGUUUUUGUCCUACACAGAAGACCACAUUGGAAAUAAGUGUUCUUACACUAUUGUGUGUCAUCCUCUGGGAUUCUUUGUACUUUUAAAACUGUAAGAAUUGUAUUAUCCAAAAUCAAAUCAAUCAAUCAAUCAAUAUGGCUUGUAAAUGAAUGUCUUUGUUUUGUUUUUUUCUUCGUUUUAUUACCUCUUAUCUAAUUUACCAUUUCCCUGGAACCCUUAGUGCCAAACAUGCCUCUGUUUUUGAACAGAUAUCUAAAACAUAUGUUUAAAAACUUUGCUUGAAUGCAACAACAAAAAAUAUGAUGUUAAAAUGUUCAAUCUCAAGCGCACUUUGACAAAGUGUACGUCUUGAUUUCUCUGACCAAAAUGAGAAGGCUCCUGCACAGACUGCAGAUUGUGGAACAUGACAAAGUGUCACAGGUAACAUGUGUAGGACUGUAGCCUUCGGAACAGAAGCUGACCACAGUAGUUUAAGCUUUAGCUGCAUCUCUCUCUCGCUCUCUUUCUCUGCGAGGAGUGGUUUUUCUGAGCAUGAUAUGCUUUUGGACAGACACCGCUUUGAUCAAAUCUGUGCUUUGCUUAUAACAAACCACUUGCGGAUUCUAUAUUCAGACUUUUUCACCCAAUAGCGCAAUAUACUAGAUAGCAAACCACGAAAGUAAAAAGGUUAUCAGCUCCCAUCCGAUCACCAAACCUCAGCAGCCUUCACGAAAUGAAUGAAAGUCAGACAAUAGAUGGAAUGUGCUGUUAUUAUUGUAACAGUUCAUUUUCUACAACAACAGUAUUUUAAAGGAUUGGAAAAUAGUUAUGCUCCCACUUAGUUCUGAAUGGGAAAUAAAGCACUCUGGCCGAUGA